rnacentral:lncRNA from 1 species
AGGGACUGGGAAUUACGAACUCCCAUUGCACCACCGGUGACCCCCUUUAAGGGUGGCUAAGGUGAUUUUCUUGCAGGUACUCAGCAUUUUGGAAGCUCAGUAUUUGUGUGGAGGGAUACACUUACAGAACUCGUGAGUGACACCCUUACCCAAAAACCGAGAGAAAAUUGAGUGUUGAGUGAUACACCUGCAGAACAUUUUAGUGAGACACCCACUAAUUACCAAAUUUAUACCUAAAGACAAAGUGGAUGUUGUUACUGGAAUGUCAGUUCUUAUUCCUUACUUUUCCGUUUGGAACCUAUUCUUUCAGCAUAGGCACCAACCCAAUCAAAGUAAACCCUUCUUCUGAACUCUUUCUUCGACCCCAGCUUUA